rnacentral:misc_RNA from 1 species
AUCAGCACUCCAACUCAAACUGGUGCAGUAUAUAACCUUGGUUUUGCUAUUGCCAGAAGUAGAAGUUGCAUUGCCAGACAUUUCAGUCUCUUGCUUGAGAUCAACACGAAGAUCAACAACAAUACUCUUACUCUCCAAAUCCCAAAUUUUAAUACUAGACUCAGUUGCAGCACAUAACCAGUACCUAUUGGGGCUAAAACAAAGAGCAUGAAUAAUAGAACCAGAAUCAAGGGAGUACAAUUUCUUCCCUUCAGCCAAAUCCCACAACAAAAUCACUCCAUCCUUUCCUCCACUAGCACACAAAGAACCAUCUGGAGAUACUGCAGCAGUAUUCACAUAACCAGUGUGCCCAGCAAGAGUAGCGCGAAGCUUACAGUUAGAAAGAUUCCAGAUUUUCACAGUCCGAUCCCAUGAUCCAGAAACAAUAGUUGGUUGAAGAUUAUUUGGGCUAAAACGAACACAAGACACCCAAUCAGAAUGUGAAUCUUGAUCCUGAAUCGUGUACUUACACUCACCCAAAGUGUUCCAUAGCUUAAUCGAUUUGUCACGAGAUGCAGAAACAAUCUGACGGUUAUCAACUGAAAAUGCAACGGAUAAAACAUCCUUCGUGUGUCCAACGAAACGCCGGGCAGUGGUUCCAGCUUGAAGAUCCCAUAAA